rnacentral:lncRNA from 1 species
AGAGUCACCUCAGUGGAGAAGCCUGCACAGGGCUUUGAUGGCUGAGUUUCCCCAGAUGUGGCCUUAGAGAAGCUGAGGAACCCCCUACUUACCUCCAUUUGUCCCCAUCCAUCACUCCCAGGGGGCCACUGCCUGAUGAAUUGCCAGAGGGGAACCACCAGCUCGGCUCUUAAUAACCGGAUCUGCAUCCUGCUGCUGCCCAGCUGGGCUGAGGGCCCUGACCACAGCUAAGGGGAGUCAUCACAGGGCUUCAGGGCUGGAAUUCCAGGUAUGAUCUAUUCCCAGGGGAAGUGAAAAAGGCCCCCUCGGAGCUUUCUCUUCUAUUUCUCACUUCUCACAGACAGGCUGGGGUUCUGGAGUCCUGCUCUUCACCCCAAGUACAUGCCUGCAACCUCCAACGCUGCUGGACAGUCGGCUGCAUCCCCCCUCACCUGAGCACAGGCUCUCCCUACCCCUCCCUCCCCUUCCUAGAGGGGGUAUCCUGCAGGGAUGCAGACAAGACUGGGGAAGGAAAUGGUGCUCAGAGGGUGCUCCACCUAGGUGCUGUGGCAAGCAGGGCAGGGAGAGAGUAGAUAAAGGCCGGGCCAAGAAGCGGGGCCCUAAAUUCUCAGGAGAAGGGCCCUGGAGAGGCAGUCUCUUCCUUGAAGGAGAAAGGGAGUGCCAUCUAUAAAAAGGUGGGACCACAGGCUUUUGUAUGUGAGAUUGGCUUCCAAUGAUAGUAAAAGACCCUGGAAGAGAGAAGGACAAUGCCAGAGCCAGGCCUGCCCAGGAGAGGCAGGGAGAGAGGGAGAGAGAGAGCAGCUCAAGCCGAGAAAGGGAAGCAGCCAGCCAGCUUGGAUCUGAUCACCAUCUUGUCCAUGGAGAAGAGGAUUUUUAGUUCCAAAGGGUUAAACCCACAUAAAGAGAAAAUUAACCUUUGGCACACUUUUAGGAAUCCAUUCCCAAGGAAUGCCUGCAUGCAUAUAUAUGGAGACAAAAUUCCCAAGGCCGUUUGUAAUGGCAAAAAUAAUUGGCAACAACCCCAAUAUCCAUCCAUCAAUGCUGAUAAGUUGACACACUGAAGUACUAUUUUGCUGAUAAAAAGAAUGAGGUAAUUCUCUGGACUGACGUGGCAGAACCUCCAAGACAUAUUGCCAAGUAACAGUAACCAAGAAAGCAAGUUGCUGAACAAUACAUAAAUCGUGAUCUCAUUUUAUGCUUCUUUAACUAGGUAGACAUAUGUGUAUGUAUGUGUGUACACAUAAAAAGUGAAUCUGGCAGACACACAGCAAACUGUUCACAGUGGUCACACUUGGGGGAGGGGUGAAUUUUGGAGAAUGAAGCAGGAUUUUUCACUUGUUUGAAAUGCAUAUUUUAAAACUCAUACUGCAUGUGUAAUUCUUUUUAAAUAAGCCUGCUGUGAGUAAGGAGCUGUGAAGGCAUCACUGAGCUGUGUGAAUUUGAUUCCGUCCCCAGCCCAAUAUUGCACACUUCCCAGUCUCCCUUGAAGCUAGAUGUAGCCCUUAGACUAGGUAUUGGCCAGUGACUUGGAAAAAGAGUGUUGAGCACAAUUCCCAGGUUGUGUUCUCAAAAAGAGAGGUGUUCUCUUUACCCCCUCCUCCUUCUAGCUGGGUGAAAAACAGUUGUGAUAGCUGGAUCUCAGGCAGCCAUCUUGGACUAUGAGAUAGAAGUCAUGAGUUAAGUAGAAUAGAGCAGUAAGUUACUGGCAAAGACAGAGCCUUAGCUAAGGCCAGAUUAUAAGGCUGAAGGAGACUCCUGCUGUACCCCAGACUCCAACACAUCCAAAAGAAACUUAAGCCCAGAGAGGCCACAUGAUGUGCCAGGGUCAGUGACUGACCUAGGGGAAGUUUUGCCAGAGAUUCCCCCCCACCACUACGCACGCACACGCACACACACACACACACACACACACACACCUCACUGCUUUUUCCCCCAAGAACAUUCCUUCCUAGAGCUUGGACUCCGUUUCAUUCUAUGGCUGGGAGACUCCUUCUGGGAUUGAGGGAAGGCCCCAAGUGUUGAUUAAGCCAAAUUGCAGGAUUGGGACACACCUCUCAAUACUCUGUCUGAUAACACAGCAGAACCCCUGCCUACUGCUGGGUCUCUCUGUCAAUAUCUGCCCCUGGCUUUUUUUUUUUUUUUUUUUUUUUUGAGAUGGAGUUUGGCUCUUGUUGCCCAGGCUGGAGUGCAAUGGUGCUAUCUCAGUCCACUGCAACCUCCGCCUCCUGGGUUCAAGCGAUUCUCCUGCUUCGGCCUCCCGAGUAGCUCGGAUUACAGGCAUGCACCACCAUGCCCGGCUGAAUUUUUUUGUAUUUUUAGUAGAGAUGAGGUUUCUCCAUGUUGGUCAGGCUGGUCUCGAACUCCUAACCUCAGGUGAUCUGCCCACCUCGGCCUCCCAAAGUGCUGGGAUUACAGGUAUGAGUCACGGUGCUCAGCCCCUUUCUCUCUUUCUAUCUGGUUGUCCUCCUGUCUGCCUUUCUGCCCCUGUCCAUCAGUCUCUCUGCCUGUCCCUGGUAUGCCACUCUCUGUUUCACCCUCUCUGUGUCUGACUCAGUCUCCCUCCUUUCCUUCUGUCUCUCUCUACUUUCCUUCUGUCUCUCCUCCUCCUUCUUUCUCUGUCUAACUCUGUGUUUUCUCUCUAUCACUCUCUCUGUUGUUUCCUUUUUGUUUCUCUCUCCUGCUCUUUGUUUUGCUCCCCACUCCCCAGUCUGGCUGUGAAGUUUGUGUCUCUCCUCCUAAAGGUUUUAGGCAGUACCUUUUCUAAGCUAGCCUGGGCCAUGCCUAAAUCUCUGAUCUUGGGCCUUGUCUUGUGCUGACUCAGUGCUGCCCCUGCCAUCUCCUGCCCUCUUUCCCGCCUUACCUGCUCUGUCUGUCCCCAGUGCUGCAGGAUGAGUGGCGCUGGUCUCGGGAUCCGCAGAGUCUACAGGGCCCUGGGCUUGGACACCGUCUCAGGGGUUUGUGCCUUCAGAGCCUGGUGGAGCAGCCAAGCAACUGGGCACAUGAAGACAAAGGUCAGUGCUGCUGAGCAGUAAGGCUACCUUCUCCCUCCCGCCAGACCAAGAACUUUAGCCCCUCCAAGGCAAGUCUGGCAGAGGGGGGCUGUCAGGGCAAGCCCAGGGAUCACUGAUGCUGCCCUAGCUCCCCUCCUCCAGCUCCUGCUCAGCUGGAGGUCAGAGCAAAAGGACUUGAGGGAUGACCCAAGACUUUCCUGACAGUGCUUGGUGCUGGAGCCCGGAGCAGGAGGCCAAGAGAGGAACGGAGUGCCAUCCAAUGGCACUGGCGUGGCAGACAGGAUCACAGUUACUACUCAUGGCAGAAAGCUUCAAAGUAGCCAGGCCCCUCGGUGGAAGGAAGAGACGAGGCUUCUAAUUUUGUUUUUACUACUUACUAGCUGAGUGACCACAAAUGCAGCCUGUUGGAACUCAGAAAAUAACACCCGAAAAUGAAAGCCUCAGAAGCAAAAGUGACCUUCUAGCCUUCUCCUGCCCUCCUGUGUCUCAGGCCCGUUUUCCCCCAAGGACGGACAUAGAAAAGAGAAUCCCUCCUCCUCAAGGCGGGUUAUAGAAAUCAAAACCCCUUUUCCCCAAAGCUAGCCAUAAAGCCUACAAACUCUAACUUUCCCCAAUUUCUGUGUAAAAACUGGCCACAAAUAAAUUCUCAGGCCUAGGUGGGGCAUGGUGGCUCACACCUAUAAUCCCAGCACUUUGGGAGGCCGAGUCGGGUGUAUCAUUUGAGGUCAGGAGUUCAAGACCAGCAUGGCCGACAUUAUGAAACCCCGUCUCUAUUAAAAAUACAAAAAUUAGCCAGGCAGUAGUGGUGUACACUUGUAAUCCCAGCUACUUGGGAGGCUGAGGCAGGAGAAUCGCUUCAACCUGGAAGACGGAGGUUACAGUGAGCCGAGAACGCUCCACUGCACACCAAUCUGGGCGAGAGAGCGAGACUCUGUCUCUAAAAAAAAAAAAAACAAAAAAAAUUCUCAGGCCUACCUUGUUUGAUUGUAGGUCAGACCUCCAUUCCAGAAAGUCCUGCCCCAUACCCACACCCAGAAGGAAGAAAUGCAUGCUCAGAGGGGCCAGGAAGAAAUCCAGAGAGACAGGCCUUGCUGGGUGUCCCCACUCCGUCUAUUCACAUUCGAUCAUUGCCCUUUUUGUCCAGUCAUAUCGCUACACAGCUGUCCAUGUGUCCUUGAAACUCAGCAUAAAAGUGGACAAUUUUCCCUGUAUCUCUGGGUCCUUGUUCUGAAGGCUCCUGUGUACAUGUUAAUAAGGUGUACACCUUUCCUCCUAUUCACCUGCCUCUUGUUGGUGAUUUCUAGCCAACCUUCAGAGGGUGGUGGGGAAGCUUUCCCCUGGCCGCUGCAAGCCCCUCCGUGUUCGGGGUUCCAGUUUUCCCAUUUGUGUGACGGAGGGAGACUGGCUGCCAUUCUUCCCUUUGCUGGUCUGAGCCUGUGAUCCUGUUGCCCUGUGGGCCUCUGGCACUGUGGACUUGAAGGGAAGGGAGUGGGAAGUGGGCCUGGGGUGACGUACCCCUGCGGGGGAAGGGAGGCUGCUGCAGGGGGCUGGGUGCUGAAGGCCCAGGGUGGAGCAGUGAUGAUCGCAUGAUCACCUAAUCGCAGUGGCCCAGGAGUCAGGAGAUCAGAGGUCUAUCCCUUCACUAGCCACGUGCUCUCUCUGCACCUCAGAUUCUGCGCCUGUGGAAGGAGAUGAGUCCCAGCCCCAGAUCCUUGGCUCCAGAGAACUCAUGGGCUCCCUGCUUGCCAGGAUUCAGCUCUGCCUAGAGGAAGGAAGUAAAGUGGGGGUGGGGAGGGAGUUGGAGGUGGAUCGUUGAAGAUAGGGGUCUCAGAGCCCUCAGGGGCCAUGGGGGUGUGUCAGCGGGGGAGGUUGAAAGGAGCCAUUGUGGGAAGCAGGAAGGGGGCCCUCUGGGGUGGGCUAAUUAUAGGCCCUGGCUCUUCCAAACAAAGCCAGCGGCCUCUGAGUGGCCAUUCUUUGGGGGAAGAAAGAAGACUGGAGGGCCCCAUUAAGGUCUUUCACGCUGGGACUUUGGAAGGUGGCUUGGAAGUUCGCCUUCCAAGGCUGCUCCCUUCCUGCCUCCCUCCACUCACCCCAGCCCACAUCCCUUACCCCUUCUUGAACCCCUCUGGGGAACCAGGCCCUGCCCCCCAGAGACAGUCUCACCUGGAGUUUAAACUUUUUGAAAACCGUGGGAGGCUGAAUCAGGGAGGCAGCCAGGAGUAGAGAGAACCCUGAGAAGGGAGGAGGGAUCUGGUGCUGCCCUGCGGCCCUGGGCUCAGUUUCUUCAUCUGUAAAAUGGGCUUGCCGUCUAGCCCUGACUUGCUGAAAUUCACUGAUGUUUCCAGAUUUCUACAUAGAACUGAGGCCAGACUCAGAGAUGCCUGAGCAUCAGGGUUUCUGCCUCCUGUCCUAUUUACUACCCUCCAACACUGGUACCCUCCCUCCUCACCACCUGCUUGCCCACUGAGGCACCAGGUUGCAUCUCUGAGUCUAAAUUUGACUCAAAAGCCCAAAUGGUCUUUGCUUGUCACAGAUGGACUCCAAAUGAAAUAGCCAAAAGAACUCUUAUUCCUUUCUGCAUAAGUAGAAGCUGGGUUGAAUUUCUUCAUCACUUCAUUCAUUCAUGCAUUCAUUCAUUUAUUCAUCCAUAAUGCUUUAACCAUUUCCCAGGCACCUAUCCCUCGCCCAGCGUGGGCACACAAACAUGAUUCCUGAAACAACAUUCAGGGCAAUGAAUGAUGACUUGUGUGGGCAAGUCAUCAUUUGAGACAGGAGAGGAAAAUGCAAAAUGGGAUGGAGGAGGGAGUCACUAACCCGGGUCACAGGGGAGGAGGCUUUUAGCCAGUCUGCAGGAUGAGUAGGGCUGCUGUCGGGUGGAGCUGGGCAGUUUGGGUAGUGGAAAUCACACCAGCAAGGGUAGGGAGGUGAGAAAGGGCAGACCUGGCCUGGAGCAAAAGGGAACCUUCCCCAGGACAUUAUGUUAAGUGAAAUAAGCCAUUUGUGAAAAGACAAAUACUGUAAGAUUCCAAUUCUAUGAAGCACUGAGUAUUCAAAUUCACAGAGACGGAAAGUAGAAUGGUGGUUGCCAGGAGCUGGGGGGAGGUGGAAGAAGUUGUUGUUUAAUGGGUGUAGAGUUUCAGUUUUGCAAGAUGAAAAGAGUUCUGGAGAUUGGUUGCACAACAAUGUAAAUUUAUUUAACACCACUGAGCUGCACAUUUCAAAGUGGUUAGGAUGGUACAUUUUAUGUUAUGUGUAUUUGACUACAAUUUUUUUUUAAAAAGUAACUGUACACACACACCAAAAAAAAGUACCUUCCCCAGAGAUAAUGGGAGAGGGGAGGCAAGAAAUAGGAGUGGGUGUGGACAUUAGGUGGUGGAGGAUCCUAAAACCUUGCUAAGGCCAACAGAGCCACCUCAGAUUCUUUGUAGAAAGUUGGAGGGAGGUUAGCCGGGCGUGGUGGCGCAUGCCUGUAAUCCCGGCUACUGAAGAAGGCUGAGGCAGGAGAAUCGCUUGAACCCGGGAGGCAGAGGUUGCAGUGAGCCGAGAUCUCGCCACUGCACUCCAGCCUGGGCAACAAGAGCAAAACUCGAUCUCACCAAAAAAAAAAAAAAAGAAAGAAAGAAAGAAAGAAAGAAAAAAAGUUGGAGGGAGGGAAAGAAGGGAGAGCAAGGGGUAUGUGGGAAGUAUUGAAGGGACUCGGGAUAAACCGGCGUGAUUCUGAGCGUGGGCCCUGCUUGCAGGGGAUGGGGCCAGGAUACGUGCACAAAGGUUGGCCCUAGGGCAGAAGCAACUGGACUCCUAUCUUGUAACAUUUCUGCUGGUCACUUCAAAUAUGCAAGGGAAGAGAGCUGCUAUUACUGAGUCACUAAGCUCCAAGACCUCAGACCUGGCAGAGGUACACCACCGCCUCCAGACCCACACUGGUUGGCCAUGCCCAGCCGCUGAGGCAAAGGUUUCCAGGUAGUCUCUGCCACCUACCCUCUCCCCAAAAUGGCCAUACUGUGGUCUUUCCCGACAUGAAUUAUAGAAUUUCAGACUAUCAGAGCUGAGAGAUGACUUAUCUGCCCCACUACCCCAAUCAUACAGAUGGGCACACUGACACCCAAACAGAAGGGAUCUCCUGAAUUUCACUUACAAGUCAGGCGACUAGAACUCUUUGUCUCAGCUUCUCCCUGGGGGAUCUGAAGAAACUGAAUUUUAAUCAUUGCAGAGGAAGCCUGCUGUAUACAUUGGGACCUGUAGCUGGGCUGGCCAAUACCACUUUUUUUUUUUUU